rnacentral:rRNA from 1 species
AUUGAACGCUGGCAGCAGGCCUAACACAUACAAGUCGAACGAGUGGCGUACGGGUGAGUAAUGUCUGGGAAACUGCCCGAUUGAGGGGGAUAACUACUGGAAACGGUAGCUACUACCGCAUACCAUCGGAUGUGCCCAGAUGGGAUUAGCUAGUCGUUGGCGUAAAAGCUCACCUAGGCGACGAUCCCUAGCUGGACUGAGAGGAUGACUAGACAGACUGGAACUGAGACACGGCCCAGCGUCCUACGGUAGGCAGCAGUGGGGAAUAGUGCACAAUGGGCGCAAGCCUGAUGCAGCCAUGCCGCGUGGAUGAAGAAGGCCUUAGGGGUGUAAAGUACUUUCAGCGGGGAGGCGUUACCCGCAGAAGAAGCACCGGCUAACUCCGAGGCAGCCGCCGCGGUAAUAC